GGCAGGCUUCCUCAACCUCGGCCCUCCAGAUGUUUUUGGCCUACAACUCCUAUGAUCCUAGCUGGCAGGACCAGUGGUCAGGGAUGAUGGGAAUUGUAGUCUUAAAACAUCUGGAGGGCCGAGAUUGAGGAAGCCUGGU
rnacentral:miRNA from 1 species